UGGGGAAUAUUGCACAAUGGGGGAAACCCUGAUGCAGCAACGCCGCGUGAGUGAAGAAGUAUUUCGGUAUGUAAAGCUCUAUCAGCAGGGAAGAAGAUGACCGGUACCUGAGUAAGAAGCCCGGCUAACUACGUGCC
rnacentral:rRNA from 1 species